UAUUCUUUGUUUUUUUUAAAGGGUUGACACUGAAGAAUGGAUUGCCACUAUUGAAGCAUUACUUUCAAAAAGUUUUGAUGCUUGUCAGUGGCUAGUUGAAUAUUUUAUUGGUUCUGAAGGACGAGAAUUGAUAAAGAUAUUCUUGCUGGAGUGCAAUGUGAGAGAAGUGCGAGUCGCUGUGGCCACCAUUCUGGAGAAAACCCUGGACAGUGCCUUGUUUUAUCAGGACAAGUUAAAAAGCCUUCACCAGUUACUGGAGGUACUACUUGCUCUGUUGGAUAAAGAUGUCCCAGAAAAUUGUAAAAACUGUGCUCAGUACUUUUUCCUGUUCAACACUUUUGUACAAAAGCAAGGUAUUAGGGCUGGAGACCUCCUCCUGCGGCAUUCAGCUCUGCGACACAUGAUCAGCUUUCUCCUGGGGGCCAGUCGCCAGAACAAUCAGGUA